ACGGGAGGCAGCAGUGAGGAAUAUUGCACAAUGGGGGAAACCCUGAUGCAGCAACGCCGCGUGAAGGAUGAAGGCCUUUGGGUCGUAAACUUCUGUUCUAAGGGAAGAUAAUGACGGUACCUUAGGAGCAAGUCCCGGCUAACUACGUGCCAGCAGCCGCGGUAAUACGUAGGGGGCGAGCGUUAUCCGGAAUUAUUGGGCGUAAAGAGUACGUAGGUGGUUUUCUAAGCGCAGGGUUUAAGGCUAUGGCUUAACCAUAGUUCGCCUUGCGAACUGGAUAACUUGAGUGCUGGAGAGGAAAGCGGAAUUCCUAGUGUAGCGGUGAAAUGCGUAGAUAUUAGGAGGAACACCAGUGGCGAAGGCGGCUUUCUGGACAGUAACUGACACUGAGGUACGAAAGUGUGGGGAGCAAACAGGAUUAGAUACCCUGGUA
rnacentral:rRNA from 1 species